AUUGAACGCUGGCGGCAGGCUUAACACAUGCAAGUCGAGCGAGCGGCGGACGGGUGAGUAAUGUCUGGGAAACUGCCUGAUGGAGGGGGAUAACUACUGGAAACGGUAGCUAAUACCGCAUAUCAUUAGAUGUGGCCAAAUCGGAUUAGCUAGGAGGUGGGGUAAUGGGUCACCUAGGCGACGAUCCCUAGCUGGUCUGAGAGGAUGACCAGCCACACUCGAACUGAGACACGGUCCCGACUCCUACGCGAGGCAGCAGUGGGGAAUAUUGCACAAUAGCCGCAAGCCUGAUGCAGCCAUGCCGCGUGUGUGAAGAAUGCCUUCGGGUUGUAAAGCACUUUCGGCGAGGAGGCGUUACUCGCAGAAGAAGCACCGGCUAACUCCGUGCCAGCCGCCAAGGUAAUUC
rnacentral:rRNA from 1 species